GUGCGAAUUGCGGACACAUUGAGCACUAAAAUUUCGAACGCACAUUGCGCCAUCGGGUUCAUUCCCCUUGGCACGUCUGGCUGAGAGUCGAAAUCUAAAAUAUACUCUUUUACGCAUACACACAUACACUGUAUAUGUGUUGCACAUCGGCUCAUAUAACAAUACCUAUAGCUGUAGCGAGUGUUUUGUUAAUAACAGCGGCUAUAGAUGGCUAGUUUGUUAUAGGAGACGAUCUGCUAGUAGUGUGAUACAUAUAAGCGAGUGUGUGUGUGUGUGUAUGCGUGCACAAAAAGAGUGAUGUCGAUAGACUAUUUUUACUCAGUAUAAAUGGGCAAGAUUAUUUAUACUGCUGUAAACAAUACUCUAUUCAGUUUUGAAAACAGUGUGCCGACUUUGUCGCGCGCACGCGCAUAAGUAAGAGUUCGAUUAAACAGGUUAGUACAACCAGCAAGCAACACAACCACUGCCUUGGUAAAUUGCUUGAAAGCGAAUCUCUAGCAUACAAAGAGGCGAUAUAUGCAAGGGUUAGCAAGCGCUUUCAUGCUAGUAAAGCUUUUUACUGUGGCCGCAAGUUAGUGGUGUUUGUUUGUGUGUGUGUGUGUGUGCUAAGCUAGUGUUCAACAAUGACCUCAGCUCAGUCGUGAUUACCCGCUGAAUUUAAGCAUAUAACUAAGCGGAGGAAAAGAAACUAACGAGGAUUCCCUUAGUAACGGCGAGUGAACAGGGAAAAGCCCAUCGCUGAAUCCCAUAAUCAUUGAUUAUCGGGAACUGUAGCGUAUAGGUGUAACUAUUCGGUGGUUUUUGCUUACUCAAAGUUCCCUUGAGUGGGGCUAUAGUCCAUAGAGGGUGCUAGGCCUGUACGGGUAGCAAAAUUACCGAUAUCGGUUACUCCUUGGAGUCGAGUUGCCUGGGAACGCAGCUCAAAGUAGGUGGUAAACCUCAUCUAAGGCUAAAUAUGACUACGAGACCGAUAGCGA
rnacentral:rRNA from 1 species